AGAAAUCAGUUCAGCACUAAGUCACUUUGUCUAUAUGGCAAAUGUGAGAUGCAGUGUAUGGAGCGUCAAUAUUCUAGUAUGAGAAAUUAACGAUUUAAGUCCUUCUUAAAUGAGGCCAUUUACCCAUAGAGGGUGCCAGGCCCGUAUAACGUUAAUGAUUACUAGAUGAUGUUUCCAAAGAGUCGUGUUGCUUGAUAGUGCAGCACUAAGUGGGUGGUAAACUCCAUCUAAAACUAAAUAUAACCAUGAGACCGAUAGUAAACAAGUACCGUGAGGGAAAGUUGAAAAGAACUCUGAAUAGAGAGUUAAACAGUACGUGAAACUGCUUAGAGGUUAAGCCCGAUGAACCUGAAUAUCCAUUAUGGAAAAUUCAUCAUUAAAAUUGUAAUAUUUAAAUAAUAUUAUGAGAAUAGUGUGCAUUUUUUCCAUAUAAGGACAUUGUAAUCUAUUAGCAUAUACCAAAUUUAUCAUAAAAUAUAACUUAUAGUUUAUUCCAAUUAAAUUGCUUGCAUUUUAACACAGAAUAAAUGUUAUUAAUUUGAUAAAGUGCUGAUAGAUUUAUAUGAUUACAGUGCGUUAAUUUUUCGGAAUUAUAUAAUGGCAUAAUUAUCAUUGAUUUUUGUGUUUAUUAUAUGCACUUGUAUGAUUAA
rnacentral:rRNA from 1 species